UGAGCAAUCUGCCCUUCUCAUCGGAAUAAGCGUUGGAAACGACGUCUAAUGCCGAAUACGACCUCCUUUCGCAUGAUCGGAGGUGGAAAGCUCCGGCGGAGAAGGAUGAGCUCGCGGCCUAUCAGCUAGUUGGUGUGGGUAAUGGCCCACCAAGGCGACGACGGGUAGCCGGCCUGAGAGGGUGACCGGCCACACGUGGGACUGACG
rnacentral:rRNA from 1 species